AUGCCCUUCGACCUCGAAGACUGUCUGGCCAAUGGUCCAGAUGAAGCCUCCAGUAUGGCAGCAACUCCCGCACCAGCAGCUGCUGUCCCAGCACCAGCCACCCCCUGGACCCUGUCAUCCUCUGUCCCUUCCCCGAAGACCUAUCCUGGUAGCUAUGGCUUCCGUUUAGAAUUCCUGAAAUCUGGGACAGCCAAGUCUGUAACCUGCACGUACUCCCCUAUGCUCAACAAGCUGUUUUGCCAGAUGGCAAAGACCUGCCCGGUGCAGCUGUGGGUCAACUCCCCACCCCCGCUCAGCUCCCGGGUCCGUGCCAUGGCCAUCUACAAGAAGUCCGAGCACAUGACGGAGGUCGUGCGGCGCUGCCCCCACCAUGAGCGCUGCUCUGACUAUAGUGACGGUCUGGCUCCUCCUCAUCACCUUAUCCGGGUGGAAGGGAAUUUGCGUGCCGAGUAUUUGGAUGACCCAAACACUUUUCGACAUAGUGUGGUGGUGCCCUAUGAGCCUCCUGAGGUGGGCUCCGACUACGCCACCAUUCACUACAACUUCAUGUGUAACAGCUCCUGCAUGGGGGGCAUGAACCGGCGGCCCAUCCUCACCAUCAUCACACUGGAAGAUUCCAAGUAGGGACUCGAACACCGCCCUUUAUGCUGGCAUGCGCCUCGCUAGCCUCUGCCUGUCUCUCCCCUGCGCCCUACCCCUCCACCGUUUCUCCAGGACUACCAGCCAUCCUUCCCUCUCCCAUUCCUAUAUGUAGAACCUCCUUCAGCCCCCUGGAGUCCCAAGCAGCCCCCUGGGAGCACUAAGCGAGCACUGCCCACCAACACUGACCCCUCUCCUCCGCCAAAGAAGCCAGCGAUGAAGAAUAUUUCACCCUUCAGAUCCGUGGGCGUGAACGCUUUGAGACGUUCCGGAAACUGAAUGAAGCCUUAGAGCUACAGGACGAUGUCCUGGCUGGAAAGGACCCGGGUGGAAGCAAGACUCACUCCAGCCACCUGAAACCUAAAAAGGGGCAGCCUGCCUCCCGCCAUAAAAAAAGACUCAUGUUCAAGAGAGAGGGCCCUGACUCCGACUGACAUCCCUGCUUCCUGUCCCCCGUUGACACCCCCACCCUCGUCCCCCUUUUCCUGGCGUAUUUUUGGGGUUGGGAGCUUAAACCUCUGCUUGGUACAGAUGUGCCUCAGAAACGCCCCAGAAUUCCGUCUGCUCUGGCUGAGGCCUCCACUACAGAAGCUGGCCUGCACUGCUGCGUUUUGAGGGAAGCUGGAGGGAGCUGAGAUGUUUCAGCUUAACUUUUAAGGUCUUUACUCUGAAGACCAUUUGGGGGAGGUAGGAAAUGUUCCUAACCUCAUUGUCCACAUUGACAAAAUGUCAAUAAUGAUGCCUGCUCUACGGGGCUAACUGUGAGGGUUAAUGAAACGGUGGAUGUUUGGGACCAGGCUCCCGCAGAGGUGCUGGUUCCUGCCCCUGUAUGACUGGACAGCUAGUUAAGAGGAGGGAACUUCUAAAUCCCUGCUCUGCUGGCCUGGCCAACUCCUGUCUGAAGUCGGGAACCUCACCACCUAAAAGGAGAUCACAUCUCAUCCCACACCCUGGAGGGCCCCACCUCCAGUGUAGGAUCCGUAUCUUCCAAGAUCUGUUUCACUUCCCCCAAAUGCUCAGGGUCAAUUUCCUCUACAGUUGGAAAGGCACAUCUGUACUCCACAUCCGCACCCCUUCCCCUCUUCCCCUUUUAUAUCACAUUUUUUUAUAUUGGUUUC